rnacentral:rRNA from 1 species
UACGAAGGGGGCUAGCGUUGUUCGGAAUUACUGGGCGUAAAGCGCACGUAGGCGGAUAUUUAAGUCAGGGGUGAAAUCCCAGAGCUCAACUCUGGAACUGCCUUUGAUACUGGGUAUCUCGAGUAUGGAAGAGGUGAGUGGAAUUCCGAGUGUAGAGGUGAAAUUCGUAGAUAUUCGGAGGAACACCAGUGGCGAAGGCGGCUCACUGGUCCAUUACUGACGUUCAGGCACGAAAGCGUGGGGAGCAAACAGG